GGCGGUGUAGCUCAGUUGGCAGAGCAAACGGCUCAUAAUCGUUGUGUCGGCGGUUCAAGUCCGCCCACCGCUAC
rnacentral:tRNA from 2 species